rnacentral:rRNA from 1 species
UACGGGGGGAGCAAGCGUUGUUCGGAUUUACUGGGCGUAAAGGGCGCGUAGGCGGCGCGGUAAGUCACUUGUGAAAUCUCUGAGCUUAACUCAGAACGGCCAAGUGAUACUGCAGUGCUAGAGUGUGGAAGGGGCAAUCGGAAUUCUUGGUGUAGCGGUGAAAUGCGUAGAUAUCAAGAGGAACACCUGAGGUGAAGACGGGUUGCUGGCCAACACUGACGCUGAGGCGCGAAAGCCAGGGGAGCAAACGGG